rnacentral:rRNA from 1 species
GACAGAGGGUGCAAACGUUGUUCGGAAUUACUGGGCGUAAAGCGUGUGUAGGCGGCCACGUAAGUCGGAUGUGAAAGCCCCGGGCUCAACCCGGGAAGUGCACUCGAUACUGCGUGGCUUGAGUACUGGAGAGGUUGGUGGAAUUCCCCAAGUAGAGGUGAAAUUCGUAGAUAUGGGGAGGAACACCGGUGGCGAAGGCGGCCAUCUGGACGGUAACUGACGCUGAGACGCGAAAGCGUGGGGAGCAAACAGG